AGUACUUUUUUUUUUUUUUUUUUUUUUUUUUUUUUUUUUUUUUUUUUUUUACAUUCACCAUCUCUG
rnacentral:ribozyme from 1 species